AAAUACGUCAAACAUACCAAAUGUAUAAUAUAUGUCAUUUUAGAACAUAAUUUAGAUGAUUGACAUUUAAAACAAAUCAAACCUAGCCUUAAAAACAUGCAAAAUCCGUGUUUGUCGCUCAAAAUAAAUUUUCCAGCAGUUUUUCCUCUCACUGACUUCGUUUCCCUGCUCGAUCGUCUGCAAUAGGUGAUUCCUCUCUUCCUUUUCACGACAUGCUUACGGAAUUCUCCACAUUUUUCUGCUUUAAUUGUUACAAUUUUCGUCAAAAUGUUGGUCGGCAUUUGCUUGCUUAUUUUCUAUUUGCAACUCUUUAACUUGAAAGAGGUUACUGAUUCUCUCACCGAUUCACCGAUUCUCACCAAUACAUCAUAGUUGCUGAAUUUGAUUUUGUAGAUCUUAAUCAAACAUUCAUAGGUUGUGUGAUAUUUCUAGUUAGGCUACCGAUUUAGCUUGAAAGUCAUUAGCCUAUAGAUCAUCAUUAUUUUAGCAUCGGAGUAUAAUUGAAAAGAAAUACUCAUUUAUAUGGUACAGUAGAACAUUGUAAUGACUAACCUCAUCUUCCUCUUCUUUGUCUUUUGCUAUUUUAUCUGGUGAAUUUGCAUCUUGUGCUGGUAUGGGCAAAGGUCUUGGAAGAGAUUUCACAGUAUCCAGAUACUGUGGCUGCUAAAUUGAAGGAGCAAGUUAUGGCAAGAGCCGAUGAAUUACGGGCUGCUAGGGAAGUAGAUCCAGAUUUUGAUCACAUUUUCCUUCCUUUUGGGAAGAAUAUGAUGAGAAAGCAAAUUCCCGGAGCCGGACAAGCAACAAGCAUUUAUUUCCCUAAUGCUAGCAGUUCGUCCACUGGGGGCUAGGGCGUUAGCACGGAAGAGUUACAAGCAAUGCGAGAGCAAAUCAUUAUUGAGGUGCGCGAGGAGUUGGAACAGCAAAAUGAGGCGUCCCGUGCGGAGCUGGAGAGGCAAAAUGCAGCGCGUGACGAUGAGUUAAUGAGGCAAAAUGUGGAGUUACGUGCGGAAUUUGAGAAAAAAAUGAGAGGAUAUUAGAACAGUUGUUGAACCUUAGUGAAAAGGUUAACAAAAUGAGUAAAAACUAAAAGUGUAAAACAAUUUUAGUAAAUUUAUGUAAGUUUUGAAUUUUGUUUGUCA